ACCUGCUCUACACCUAAUGCCAAAAAAGCCUGCAAAGUUCUCCUCUGCUACAAAGCAACACACAAAGCCCUCCUAGCCCAUCACUUGUUGCUCAAGAACAAGGCAAGCCAGAGUGGUGACACCGAUCCCAAGUGAGUCCAGCCAAGCCAAGUGGAGCCCAGCAGGGUGGUAGGAAGAGGCAGCAAAGUGGCAGAUCCCAUUCCCACACACAUGCCCAGCGUGGCAGACUGAUGGCAGGGGCAGUGCCAAACAGAGCUCUGCAGGGACAGAGAGACACCCAUCACCAUCGCCACUGCCACCAUCCCUGCUGCAGAGAGGGAGCAGGAAACUGCCACUGCAGGUGCACAGCUGCUCCAGGCAGCACCAGCAGUUCCCAUCUACCAUCAGAACCAUUCUGUAAGCCCUUGCCAUCCUGUCUUUGUUCCAGGGGCCUCAUGUGACACUUCACCUUUGUUGCUUAAGCCAUUACCCCUUUUGCACAAUUUUCUUCUUAUUGUUGUGCACUGCUUUUUAUUUCCUCACUACAUUGUAACUCUAAUAGUUUUAACCUCUCAUUUAUUGUUUUCUCCAUUGUCCCUUUCCAUUGUCAUGGAGAAGGGGAGAGAGGAGAGGCUUUACAAGGACUACCUCAAGAAGAGGACAUAGAAUGAUGGAGGGAAGGCCUUAGAAAGAAUAAACAACCCUCAUGCUGCUGCUUUUGGAAGGAAUAAAUGUCCAAGUUACUUAAUAUCCAGACACAAAUCUGUGGAGUCUUGACAGCCAAGAAGCACAGGAAUCUGGACACCUUGUUGUGAGAGACUAGAGGAGAUUGCUGGCUCAACACUUUUCAGGGGCUUGUAUGUGGGGAAGGGGGCAGAUCAAGCCUUGCUCUGGUGAGGCGAUGCCCCACUCGGCAUGCCCCACACCCCCAGGCCUGUAUCCCAGCCCAGCAGCGGCCACUGAUCCCUGGCACACCAGAGGCAAUGCUCCACACCUGUGUCUGGAGCCCCUAACCCAGCUCCUAAAUGGCCAGCUUGGGGGACUCGUCUGGGAUAGCCACGCCUGAAGAGGACACCAGGACUGGGACGGCCGCCCACCCUGGACCUGCAGGACAGCUGGCUAUCGGGACCAGAGAAGAUCGGCUUGGGACAGUGACACGGAGCAGCGCCGGAUAGAAGAGUCCCGAAUGAUUAGGGCCGCAAGCAUAAGAAUUUGGGAAAAAGACAACCGUCCAGGGCCCCAAGUGCCAUCAGGAGAAGAAAAAUUGCCACUAGUGGAUCCCAAUUGGAAUCCUAACCAGGAGGAAGGUAGGAAGGCCAUGAUGGAGUACAGGUCCUUGAUAAUUCGAGGAAUAAGAGAAUCAAUUCCCAAAGGAACCAAUACAAAACUAGCAUUUGAGGGUAUACAGGAGAAAGAUGAAACUCCUGCCACUUGGCUUAAUCGCCUGAGGCGGAACUUUCAAUUGUACUCCAAAACAGACCUGGACACCAGCGAAGGUGAAAUGCUACUAAAAGUCCAUUUUGUUACUAAAUCUUGGCCUGAUAUACAGAGAAAACUGGAAAAGAUUGAGGAUUGGCAAGGAAAAGAUAUUAAUGAGUUAUUGAGGGAAGCAUUGAAAGUGUAUUUAAGGAGAGAAGAAGAAAAAGUAAAGGCCAAAGCUAAGAUCAUGGUUGCUAUAGCCAGAGAAAGUGUAGGAGCAAACAACCCUUUCCUACACAACAAGGCCACAAAAGAGUGGGGGGGUCCACCACCAGGAGCAGGCAAGAAUAUGCCAGUACUGUCAGGGGCAGGAGGCAUGGAGAGGCCUUGAGUCCCUUUGAGUGAAAGCUGCUGCUAUUACUGUGGAGCAACUGGACCCCCCCUCCCCAAGACUGUUUAGCCUAAAGUUGUGAAACCUUUGCUAGCUGAUCAAGAUAGCAAAGGAAGCAGCUUUAAGACCAGAAGAUCUAGUAAAAGUGGUUUUUUUAAGCAGAAACCACACCCGAGUAGGGAAAAAGAAAGGAGAACUCAUAUUCUGUGAAAUUUAAAGUUACAUCAAAGGAUAUGGGGGAGUGGUUAAUACCUGACGGACAGGUGUUUCUAAACAAAGCACUUGCUAAGAUGGUGCUAACAAAACUGCAGAAAUACCCACUGGGGAGUCCAAGGACUAUGUGAUUAUUUCCUAAGAAAUAACCUGUGCAUAAGCGUAUAUGACCUAGCAAAAACAAUUAUAAAAGAGUGUUUAACUUGUCAAAAAGUGAACCAGAAUGGAAUGGUAAAUACCAUAGACUCAGACCGAGGUCCACAUUUUGUGGCCCAAACAUUGCAAAAUAUAAUUGAAGUUUUAGGAAUAAAAUGGAGAUUGCAUACUCUGUAGCACCCCCAGAGUUCUGGGAGGGUGGAACGAAUGAACAAAAUUCUCAAAAAUGUAUUGACUAAAUUGAUCGAAGAAACAAAAAUGAAUUGGCUAAAGUGUUUACCCCUAGCGCUCUUGCGCAUCAAAACAAGACCCCGGUCUGAUAUAGGGAUUUCACCUUAUAAAAUGAUUUUUGGACUGUCAUUCUUGUUAACACCCUAUAGCACAGGAGACUACCUGGAAGGAGAAGAAGCUACAAGGAAAUAUUUAGAAGUAAUUGGAAGAACCCUAGAAGGACUUAGAAAAAGAGAAUACCUCCCCCAAACCUCCCCUCUGGAUACAAAAGCACACGACAUCAACCCAGGAGAUUGGGUUUUAAUAAAAUCCUGGAAUUAUAGACCAUUAAUGCCUAAAUUUGAAGGCCCCUUUCAGGUACUCCUCAUCGCUAAUUCGGCCGUGCGAACCAGAGCAAAAGGUUGGACUCACAUUACGAGAAUUAAAGGACCAGUCCCACCCCCGAGCAUUGGACAAGAUUCUUCAGUGUCUGGUAUUGGACCAGAUUCCACACCACCCUCACACCCUAACUCGGGACAGGAUUCAACCACAUCGGAAGUUAAUUCAGCUGAGUAUACUAUUAUAAAAGGACCAAAUGACUUAAAAUUGACAUUCAAAAAGACUGAUGAACUGCAUAAGAAAAAAGUUUAGAAUCAUAACAUGUCUUGAAGUGUUUUAAGAAAUUUGUAAAAGUUAAAAAUUGUUAAUAAGUAAUUCUGGUUAAGUCGUCCCAACUUGGUACCAAAGACCCCAGGUUAAUCUUCUCCAGAGUGCUCCCCUAGGAAGGACCAAAUUAGCAGGGACAGAUCAAGAGAGGUUUAACCAGAGGAGCAAGAGACUCUAAAGAACUUGGAGACUUCUUCUCAGUAAAAUCCUCAAGAGGCAAGGCCGGGUGGGCAGGCUGUGCAAGAUGACCCAUACCAGACUCUUGGGAAGGGUAGUAACGCUGGCUCUGAUUGCUGGUGGUGCUCUGGAGAGCCCAGGAGAGCUGUGCAAUGAGUACUACCAACCUUUCUAUGAGAAAGAAGUAAGCUCCUUGCUGAGAGUCCACAACAAUUGUGUUAACCUCUCCCAAUUGAUCUUUUAUCAAGAAAAUAAGAAAAUAUAUUGGAUGGCCUGGAACACUGCCACCUUUAGGCAGCCACUCCUGGGAGAGCACCCUGUAGGAGAAACCUGGUGGUGCUUUGAACAUGAUGCUACUGAAGCAAACCUGGUAAAUCUGGUAAAAGGAAAAAGUAUUUCUAAAUAUUGGGAGGGCACGACAAAAAUUAAUAUCUUUCAGGAAACCCCUAAACACUAGUUUUGGGUCAAUGGUACCACAACAUCCACUGAAUUGCCAAGAGGCUGGUCUAGUGGUGGCAUCAUUAGAAUUAUAAAACAAACUGUCUUUAUAAUACACAAAGAAUCUGGAUCAAGUUUAAGAGUUCCUAUAUAUGAGGAUUUGAGAAAAACAAAACUGAAGAAACAAUAUAUGUUAAACAAAAUCUUGAAACUACAAUCAGAAUUAGAAGUAAUAUCUAAUCAGACCGCAUUGGCUCUUAAUCAUAUUAAUGACCAACUCAACCAAACCAAAACAGUAGUUUAUCAAAUCAAAUUAAUUGUAGCAGUCAUUAGAAACACUUUAAACGAAAUAAAAAACCUAGCAUAUUUAAGAAAUCAAAAGACUCUUACACUUGAUUCUAGUUGGUGGGAUAAUCUAUGGAUUUUCAAAAAAAGUUGGAAAACUAUAACCUUCACUGUGGGUACACUUGUUAGUCUGUUCUUAUUUCCAUGUUUAACAAAAAUAGUGACAUCUGCUGUACAGAAUAACCUAAAGAUCUCUAAAGGAAUUAACCUGAAAAAACCAAAAAAGGUAAUGAAGUUUAGUAAAUAUGAUCACCCUAGUGCUGAAGAAAUGUAUUAUCAAUACAAAAAAUAUAGGAAAUUCUAUGUUAAUGAGCCAAAAAUUAUAAGUUGAUGCAAGCUUAAGCUUGAUCAAAGAAAAAUAGGGGGGAACUGUUAUGAAUAGAAAAUUGUAAUUUUUUUCAAGUUUCAGAGUUAAAAAAAACCAAGCCAGACCGAGUCAGCCUCCUUUGGUUUCGCUGCCGAAGGAAAGCUUUUCAAAUACCUGUUAAUGGCAGGUGAUUAACUGAUUGUUUCCCUGAUGCUGGCCGCAUGCCAAGAAGAUACCAAGGGAAACCCUCCAGGGUAAAGAGAUGGGCAGUGACACCAGAGACAGCAUGCAAAUAAGAAACGCAGUGCACCCUGGAUUGUUACAGUUUUACAGUUUUUAUAAGAAAAACCCCUAAAAUCACGAGCCAACAAGUGACUUAAAGUGACGUCUAAAGAUGGGAGCAUUGUCCCGUACCUGCUUGUAUCUUUUUAUUUCUCACCCUAACCUGAAAAGAAACUGAUUAAAGAGACCCCCCGGGUUUCUAAACCAACAAACCAAGGACUCAACGACUCUCCCAUGAGGACAGAGUCCCCAGUUCUGUCUGCAGACCAGCGGACAAAACUGCAUCAUCCUCCUCCUUCGUGCCACGCCUGGGAGCAACGGCGGCGAGGGCGCAACCCGUCGAUUUCUCCCCACCUGAGCUGAUUCUUCUUAAUAAAGGCAUUAAAAAGGAGAAAGAUCUCCUGCCCAUUUAUUUCAGCUAGGGCUAAGUUAAUGCUUUAUAGAAUAUUCUCUGUUAUGUUUAAUUUUUUUACCUUUCAAGUUCUCUGAUUUUUGAAAGUUGACAGUGAAGUUUUUUUGUUGUUCCAAUCUCUUGAGAACAUCUCGUCAGUAUUUUUCCUGCUUUUCUAUCUCAAGAGUUCAGGAACAAGUUUAAGUCGUUUUACAGUAUCCCACAGAGCAACAUUUUUGGGGCCUUACAUUUUAAUUGGCGCAGCAAGCAGGGUACUCUUGAGGUGAUAUGGGCCUUUUAUACAGCUGUAAGUGCUCGUGACAUAAUAAAGGAGAAAUAAAUGUUCAGUCAAAGCUGCUAUUUUCUGGCAGGAAAGUAAUGGACUUGCACCCAGAAACUGAUCUGAACUGCUCUCCACUGACACACUUGCUAAAAGCUUAUAUAGAAAGCUUGUCCAGCCCUUAAGAGAGAUGGGGACGGAGAGAAACUAGCACCAUCCACAGUUUCUUCUGGAGAAAACAUGAACUUUGUUAGAAGAAAAUUAAAAACUCCCAGUAAAGGACCAUGCCUGGUAUCCAUAUGCAUGGAGGUUUGACUCAGAGCUCUAUGGUGCCCAUCAGCUGGAAAAGGAACUGCAUCAGCUGCAAAUUGCUGAGCCUGAAACAAUAGCCAGCCUUAGGCCAGAGUAGGAAUUGAAUGCCAGGAUGAAGCCAGCCCCCAAACCAUGACAAACCAGUGAAACACGCUCUUCCAAAGCCAAAGAGCUUUAGAGUUGCAAUUUAACACUGCUGGGGAAGGCCUGGAAGCAGUGUUUUCCAGACUCCAGGAACUCCAGGCCUCCCUGACUGCAAGGUCAGCCCCACAGCCCUUGGGAGGGCUUUAGUGCCUCAAAGUCCAACCCCGCCCCUCACCCUAAACUCUGCCCACCCCUAUAAAAUACAGAGGCAGGAUGCCCCGAAGAUGAUGUCACCUUCCUCUGCUCCCUGGAGGAGAGGUUCGGCUCUGCAAAGCCAAUCUUCUUCCCUCCUCAUCCCAAGCCCUGCUCACUGAUAAAGAAGGAAUUCGCUUAUCAGGAUGUAGUGUCUGGCAGCGAUACCUCAUUCUGCAACAGAAGUGGUUGAACUACACAGGAAAAUAAGCAAUGAUCGCAAAGAAAGGGAAAUGGAGAAUGUUUUGUGAAUUGGAUUUGGGGGAAUGAAAUAGAACUUUUGGAGAAGGAAGCACAUGGUGAAAAUCCCUGGUCUUUUGCCUGGGGAACAACCUGUGAUGUGACAAGUUUGGACCCCUUGCAGGGGAGAGAACCCCAAGCAACGCAUGAGAAACAGCUGAUGCCCGUUGACCUUCUUCUGUGUUAUUGUAAGUUAUUUCAAUAUUUAGGGAUCAAACUCAGAAAACAAGAUCUCAGCACCACCUCCAAAAAGUUAUGGUUGUUGGGAGAGGGUGGUGGAUUGAAAUAUCUGCUCUCUGGAGGCUCUCUGGAAAGAAAAUGGGGAUUAAAUGGGGAUUCGGUUUCCCUGGAUUCUUAAUGAAGCUUUGCAAACUGCUCCUGCCCUGCCUCCUUCUGGCAGCCCUGGCUAUUGAGCCUUCUCUGCCACCAAAGGCUGGAAGCCGAAAUGCUGCUGCUAGAGCAUAACCCUCAGGAGAAAAUGCUUUUAUCAUCGUGCAAGUUUGUUGUUUUGGUCUCACUAAUAAGCCUGAAUGUUCAAGAAUGUCCUCACUAGUCAGGAGACUGGGUGUACAUCCAGACCUGGAAAGGAGAGCCACUUAACCAGAAGUGGAAAGGACUUUUGAUCCCAUGGCUGUGAGAUUUACAGCUGGACACUCCUAAAUUAUGUGAUUAAAGUUAGCUCUGGACACAUGGAAUUCUAUUGGACAGUCCAGUAAAUGUAACUCUGCUGCAGAUAAAGCUGCAAUGGAACAUUUCUAAAGUGAAAAACAUUAAAUGUUUUCUCUUUCUGCCCAUUUCCAGAGCAGUGUCCCUGGUAUGGCAGCAUGGCUGUUUGUUCCUGAAUUAGUCAACCAUCCUAGCAGGACCAUGUACCUAAUGACUACAAUAGCAAGUAUGGCCUUGAGUGCCAGAGGGGUAAGAGACCAAGAAAGAAAAGAGAGCCAUGUCUGUAGGAGUGUGCACCCUAAUGGCAGAGUGGCAAAACUAGCCUUUGUCCCCCAGAAAAGGAAAGAAGGCCAGAAGUUUCUCUCAAGGAUUAGGUGAAAAGCCACCUCAUGGGACCUCAGGGACUUCACCAAAUACUUGAGGACAUCUAAUUGGAUAGAAGCCAAAAAGUCCCGCUUGAUCCAUCAGGGAGGAAAAGAAGAGAAGAGAAGAGCUAAGUGCUUUUGUGAGGUGUUUUUACCAGGAGCGGACUGCUUCACCUGGCUCGAGUUUUUCUCUUUGUUAUUAUACCUUUUAUUAAACCUUUUUGUUUCUAACACUGCAGCAGAAGUCAUCCUGCUAAUUUUAUGCCCCCAGAGUAAUAGAUAAGCUGUCCUUGGGUGUAUUAUAUUUCUUUUGAGGGCUUAUGAGACCAGGCUAAGAAAAAGAAACAUAAUAGAGCAGAGCUGGGCAGCAGCUGGGGGUACUACAGUGCACUCACAGCCACCUGCCAACGCAGCUAGCCAAAACUAAAACAAGCACAACCAAAAACCCAAACACUACAGGUGCUUGGCCUAAUAGCCUGGUUACUAAUAACAUAAGAAAACAACUAUUAAAGAUGACACCUGGGACACCAGCUGGCCAGAGCCAAUUCCCAGCUAUCUCAUAACUUGCCUUUCUGUGCAAACACAGAGGUUUCAGUUGCCCACCUUUCAGAGAGAGGAGCCUGCCAGACCAGGUUGAACAUUCAGCAAUGUCUACUUGAAUGAUCUCAAGCUUUCAAUCCAAGCCCAAGCUUAUGAAGUGUGAUUCUUCCUUUAAUUUCCUAGAUUCAAAACUGAUUCUUCAGAUCUACGCAUGAGACAGUUCUCCAGAUCUACUGAGGACAUGGAAUGGUUUGGAAAGCAAACUAAGGAACAAGGCAAAAAACCAAAUUUUAUAGGGCCAGGGAGAAAAUGCUAAGAGGAAAAAGAGCAAUUGUGUUUUUAUUCCAUCCUUAUUAGCUAUAACUUGCAAUUGCUGUGGGGUAGUUAAGAGUUUAUUCAGGUUGACAACUUGAGUCAAAAGUUUAUUUCAUUCCUGAAGCUGCAGACUUGAAAUGCUUCAAGUUCUUACAUCCCAGGGGAAUCCUGUAUGCAAAAUACUUGAAAACACAUUUUUUAUCAGAAAGAAAAAGAGAUUUAAGCAUUGUUGCAAGUGUUUUAUAUAUUCAUAGAAAUAUCAAACUACUAGGUUAAUUCCUGAGACUAUUUUUAUCUUUUGCUCUUGUGCUUAUUGUUCUCUUAUUCCAUAUUCUCUUACUACUUGUAACCCACACUAAUCCUAUCUCACUGCAUGCAAUAAUAAAGCAAAGAAUUACCUAAGGGAUGAAAAGAACACAUUCCUCACUAUCUUGCAUAAGGAUGAAAACGGAACAUUUCAAAGACUUCAACAACUCAUUUCUCUGAAUAGGAGCAAAGAAAUAAAAGGCAGCAAGCUUUAAACACUCCACAAAUUCUAGCAGAAGUAAGCAGCUCACAAAGGGCACUAAGGCAGGGAGACAUGUGGACACGUGCACACCAUCACCUCAUCUGACAAAAAUGAACCUGUUUCACAGCACCAGGCAGUUCAUAGAGCCAAACUCCUUCCCCAGCCCCAUGGGAAAGCAGUGUCAAGGCACAGGAACCGGGAAGUGUCCCAGGGUGCGGAGAUAAUGCUGCCAGCAUUUGAGCCAGCAGCACUGGCUCAGACACACUGAAGUUCAGCUGUUGCUGUGCAGCAGUUUCUUCACACUGCUAAGUUUCAUGGGGCUGGCUGUAUUUUUCACAACAGCCACUUCAGUACAGGACGGGUGUAGUGAAAAGCACCGCAAGCUCCUUUGCCCUCGGUGGAUGUUUGCCAUGGAAGAGCAUACUCAAGCUGGCUCUUCUAAAACCCAGGGUCCUUGCUCC